rnacentral:misc_RNA from 1 species
AACGCACAUUGCGCCCUCUGGUAUUCCGGGGGGCAUGCCUGUUCGAGCGUCAUUACAACCCUCAAGCUCUGCUUGGUAUUGGGCCUCACCGGUUCUGGUGGGCCUUAAAAUCAGUGGCGGUGCCAUUCGGCUUCAAGCGUAGUAAUUCUUCUCGCUUCUGGAGUUCCGGGUGUGUGCUUGCCAUCAACCCCCAAUUAUAUCAAAGGUUGACCUCGGAUCAGGUAGGGAUACCCGCUGAACUUAA